CUCCGAAGAGAGGACAGAAAGAGUCUUGGACCUCUCUACGGAAUUCGUCCUUGACGCCGAAAAUUGUAAACACUCCAGGGCCGUAUAUCGUAUCACAGAGAUGUGUUUUUUUUAACAGAAUACAUUCUGUUACGUAUGUAAAACACUACGCGAGAAAGGUACACUAAAAACAAACGCUCCUGAGUUCACGUUCCUCUUUCUGAUCCCGCCCAUCUCUUCCCCCCUCACUCCUUACCGCGCCGCGUCACUACUUAGUCCUCUCUUCAGAAGUCCUCUCUUGGGAGACUCCAGUGUAUAUUCUUGUUCAGUGACACCUAAACUUCCAAUAAACACAAAAAAUUUUAAAUAAACACGACUUGACCAUGUUUUUGUAACCCAGUGUGUAACAGUGCGUUAAUAGCAUUAAUUUUUACUACAGUGUUCAGCAUUCAGAAAUUUAGUUGCCAAAUUUUAUAAUUCGAAACCUACGCAGAAAGAAAACAGCUGGGUCAGCUCGGAUUCAGCUCAGGCACGCACGUCAAAAAAUGAACUCAGGCACGUGAGGGUUAAAAAUUGUCGUUCCGUGUGUGUGUGUAUAAACUACAUUUUCAUAAAUAUCUCGAAUACUAUAAGAGCCAAAGGGAAAGUAAAGUUUUUUAAGACGCAUCUUUUGAGCUAUUAGUGAACAAUCUAUACUGAUAUUCCACCCAAAGUUAUUAAAUUUUUAAAAUUUAGAAAAAACGUUUUUUGCAAUGUAUUGACACCAAAUGGAUAUUAAUCUCUAGUUUUGUAGAGUUUUUCAAGACGCAUAUUUUGACCUAUUAGCGAAUAUCCUACUGUUAUUUUAUUCAGAGUUACUAACAUUUUGAAAUUGAAAAAUUUUGA